rnacentral:lncRNA from 1 species
GCUAGGAGGCGGGCCAGGCCAGGAGCCCUCGAUGCCACUGGGAAGGGGGUGUUAGAAGACAGAGCGCUCCACUGAUCCUGCUGGGCCGUAUAAAUGGAGCCAUGGUUAGGGUCGUCAAAACUACGUCUGCCCCCCCAGGUUCUGAAAUCCAACGCUCCCGGGAUAGAACAGUCAGGAAUUCUAACAGGCAACUGGGGCACUUCUGGGCACAGCUGGUGUUUUGGAGAGGAAAGGAAAACUCAGUGGGGAGAGCUGCUGACUCCAGCCAUGAGAGGAAAGGUCUACGGACAUUUCUCCUACAAAAAUAGAUCACCCGGCAGAACCGCUGUGAGCUGCGCUUUAGUGGAAGAAAACCUAAGGGUCCCGCAUCAUUCUAUGUCGGUUGGAAUGAACUGGGCAUGAAGUCCAUGUCAGUUUUUCUGUUUUGCAAAAUCAAUGCAAUUUCUCACUUGCUGAGCCAACCGCAUGAUCCCAGCCAAAUCAGCCAUCAACUGUUAUCUUUUUUAAACUUCAAAUAAUGAAGUACUCUUGUUUUCCUGAAAUGUCUUGAAAAGGUUAUUUCUAGGCUGACACUCUGCUUGCCAGCUUUUAU